rnacentral:ncRNA from 1 species
GUAUUUCCGAGGAAGAGAUAAGUACGAAAGGCAAGCCUUGUACAGAGAGCCGGGGUAGCUGCAAACCGGUCUGGGCGUAUUUCGGAAUAUGGUCUUGGAGGAACCGCUUUUGAGCGAUCCAGUAUUCUCUGGCGUAAAGGAGCGGCGUGAUCCAGCGUUAAUGGACGGUCGUUCUUUCUUUAGAGAUGACCGGUGAGCCUGGAACCCGUAAGGGUACAGGGAAAUUGGGUGGUAACACGUGAGAACAACUCUCGUCCCAUAG